UACGUAGGUGACCAGCGUUGUCCGGAUUUACUGGGCGUAAAGAGCGCGCAGGCGGUCGUUCAAGUCGAGUGUGAAAGCCCCCCGGCUCAACUGGGGAGGGUCACUCGAUACUGAUCGACUUGAAGGCAGGAGAGGGAAGCGGAAUUCCCGGUGUAGUGGUGAAAUGCGUAGAUAUCGGGAGGAACACCAGUGGCGAAGGCGGCUUCCUGGCCUGUUCCUUGACGCUGAGGCGCGAAAGCUAGGGGAGCAAACGGG
rnacentral:rRNA from 1 species